UACGUAGGGUGCGAGCGUUAAUCGGAAUUACUGGGCGUAAAGCGUGCGCAGGCGGUUUUGUAAGACAGGCGUGAAAUCCCCGGGCUCAACCUGGGAAUGGCGCUUGUGACUGCAAGGCUGGAGUGCGGCAGAGGGGGAUGGAAUUCCGCGUGUAGCAGUGAAAUGCGUAGAUAUGCGGAGGAACACCGAUGGCGAAGGCAAUCCCCUGGACCGAUACUGACGCUGAGGUGCGAAAGCGUGGGGAGCAAACAGG
rnacentral:rRNA from 1 species